rnacentral:rRNA from 1 species
UACGAAGGGGGGCUAGCGUUGCUCGGAAUGACUGGGCGUAAAGGGCGCGUAGGCGGUUUGUACAGUCAGAUGUGAAAUUCCUGGGCUCAACCUGGGGGGCUGCAUUUGAUACGUAUGGACUGGAGUGAGGAAGAGGGUCGUGGAAUUCCCAGUGUAGAGGUGAAAUUCGUAGAUAUUGGGAAGAACACCGGUGGCGAAGGCGGCAACCUGGUCCUUGACUGACGCUGAGGCGCGAAAAGCGUGGGGGAGCGAACAGG